rnacentral:lncRNA from 1 species
AAGAAGACUCAUGUUUUCAGGAUAGAGUCAAGGCAAUCGCAAUUAGAAUCCCAAUAGAUUAAUUUGUGCAUAUUGAUAAACUGAUUCUAACAUUUAUAUAGAAUAGACAACAUAGGAUUGAAAGAGAAGAGCAGAUAUUGAUUGACUUUAAGACUUCCUAUGAGCUGUACUCAACCAGACCGUAUGGCACUUGCCAAAGAGAACAGACAGAUGGAUCAAUAAGACAGAAUACAGAGCCCAAAGCAGACGGAGAUCUUUGACAAAGGAGAAGGCAGAAUAAUGAAGUAAAGAUAUUUCAACAAAUGUGGCUGGAACAACCGAACAUUCACAUGCAAAGAAAUGAACCUAGUCACAGACCUUACCCCUGUCAUAAAAUUUAACUCACAGUGUAUCAUAGACCUAAAUGCAAAAUGCAAGACUAAAACUUCUAGAAGACAACACAGGAGAAAACCUUGAUGACCCCAGGCACAGCGACGACUCUUUAGAUACAACGCCAAGGCAUGACUCCUGGAAAACAAAACAAUGUAUGAUUAAACCUUAAAAUAAAAAGACGUCUGUGAAAGACAGUGUCAGGAAAUGAGAAGCCAAGCCACCGACUGGGAGAAAAUGCUAGCAAAACACACACCCCAUAAAGGACUGUCAGCCCAAAUCUAUCCUGAAGUCUGAAAGGUCAACGACAAGAAAAUAAAUUAAAAAAAUGAGGACGUCUCACCAAGAAGAUGUGCAGAUGAAAAGAUGCUCGGCGUCCUCGGGCGGCAGGGACCUGCCAACAGAAACAUCCACAAGAUGCCACUGCAAAUCCGUUAGAAUGGCCCAAAUCCAGGACACUCACCAAGAACCGGGGUGGUGCGGAGCCGCGGGAGCUCUCAUUCACCCUUGGCGCGAGUCAAGGGGGCACAGCCACUUGGAAGACAGUUUGACAGUUUCUUACAAAGUUCACCGUACUCUUACUCCACCAAGUCAUGAGGACAGUGGGGGACCUUACACCCAUGUGGACAAAGCCAAUCUGAAAAGGCUAACUAAUGUGAUCUCGCUCUGUGACACUGUGACAUAAGAUGAGUCUAGGGGGGAAGAGGGACGACUAGAUGGAGCAGAGGGUUUUUACGGCAGUGAUGAAUACAUGUCACAUGCAUUUAUCCAAAACCCACAGGACAUACAACUCGGGGGAGCCUGAUGUCAACAUGGGCUUGGCACGGCAGCCAUGCGCCCUCAGGGGUUCACCAGCUGUAGUGAUCCUGCCACCCCAGUGAGGGACGGUGCCCAAGGGGAGGCCUGUGUUGGGGCAGGAACGUCGGGGAGUCUCUGUAUUUUCCUCCCAAUGUUGCUCUGAACCUAAACUGCUCUUUAAAAAUCUUUGAAUGUACUAAUUUUUUUUUUAUUUUAAAAGAAUAAUAUUCUUUUACAUUUAAAAAUUCAAAGCUGAGCAUCCUUCUCUGGCCUCCUGGUAGUUGCUGCCUUCUGGGAGCCUCAGUUUCCCCAGUCGGGGAAAACCAAGAUCUUAUCCCUGGUCUUGCAUACGAGGGUGGCUGUUCCCCACCUCCACCACGGUGGCAUUGAGGUGGCACACUGCUCAGGAGGCCGAGGCAGGAGGAUUGCAAGCUCAAGGCCAACCUGGGCAAUUUCAGGAGGCCCUGCCUCAAAAUACAAAAGGGUUGGGGAUGUAGUCAGUAGUAAAGCACCCCUGGGUUCAGUCCUCAGUGUUGAGAGCCACAGCCAAAGGGGCCCCAGCAAACUUCCAGCUGCCAGCAAACUUCCAGCUGCUGGCUGAUGAUUGGCUCACAGCGGCCCCAGCAACAUCUAGCUGAUUGGCUCCUCUGCGGUGAUGCUCAUUGGGCUGUUUCCCUGCCCUUUCAGACCACGGAGCUGCUCAUUGGGGGACUUUUUUGGCUCCGCCCACGUGACCCAGCCAAUCGGCCUCAAGAGCAGGAGGAUUGUGGGAGGUGGAGAGAAGCUUGGGUGGGAGAGAGAGGCUUGUGGAAAGCCGGUGGUGGCAGUUGAGGCUCUGAGGGUUUUUCCUGAGAGACUAUUUUGUUUGUCGUGUGUGGUUCUAAAAAUAAAGUUAGUUUCUUUUGACAAGUGGCUCCUGAUUGUGCCCAGCCAGACUGCGGCACCUCAGUAUUGAAAAAAAGAUAUAUUUCUUAAAGGAAUGAAAUAUGUUUCAUGGGUGCGUGUACUGAUAUAUGUUAUAACCUGGAUGAGUCUUGAAAACACAUAAAAGAAAAGACCACACACCUUGUGUAAUUCCAGUAUGUGAACUGUCUGGAACAGGCAAAUCUAGAGGCAGAAAAUGGGGGGUUAGUGGUCACCAAUGGCCAAGGUAAGUAGGAAUAACCGCCAAGGUACAAGUUUCCUUUGGGGAGCAAUGAAAAUAUUCUGGAACUGAUGGAGGCAGUUGCAUGACCUUUUGGUAAAUACACUGAACACCACUGAAUCACACACAUUAAAAGGGUUGAUUCUGUCUUUCGGAGUUGUCUUCAAGUCUGGAGACACUGGGGACCAACUGGGAUGAGGGACUUUGCCCUGCAUGCUCAGGGUCCCUGAGCAGAACCACCAGCCCCUGCCUUGGUUCUCCAACCUAGGUUCCGGCAGAUUCUCCUGGAGGGCUGGCUAAGUCACAAGCUGCUGCCCGCCUCCCCAGAGUUGGUGACUCAGUGAGGGGAGCCUGAGAAGCUGCCAAUUCUGGUAAGUCCCCAAGUGCUGCUGGUCCCGGGAUCAGGCUGAGAAUCAUUUCAUGUAAAGUGUCUGGCCCCAGAGCACGGGCUCCGCAUCCCGUGAGCACGUUCCAACAAGGUGGAGGAGGUGAGAAACCAGCCUCCUGCGCUAGGACCAGGGCUAUGAUCUUGGUUCUCCCCGACUGGGGAAACUGAGGCCAAGAGAAGCCCUGGAUGUGGUGGAGCUGGGUCUUGAGCCCAGGUCUUCCAGCUCCAGGUUGAAGACGCUUCCCAACCUGGAGCAAGUUCACUUUCCUCAAAAUUCUCACAGUCAGUGAAAGACGCGGGGAGAUGCCCAGCCCCUCCCCAUCCUCAACAAGCCCCUGCUCAUCUGCAGCCCCCUCUGGGAUUGUGUCUAAGGCCUGCUCUGCCCUCCUCCCAUCUACCUCAGUGCUGGAUUCUGCUUCCUGCGACUUCCCUUCCCCCACCCUCUCUGAAGCAGGAUCCCCCUUGCCACCCUCUGCCCAGGGUGGGACCCAGGCCUUGGCCCCAAUGGGGGGAGGGUCAAGGGAGGGCAGCCUGAGCCACGUGGCAGAAGGCAUGGCCCUGAGGUCUCCAGGGAGGUCAUACAGAUGCGCACAGUGAACCUCAAGUGCAAAGCCAUUUGGGAUCAGUGCCUCAUUUGCUCCUGUGGCUUUUACAGAAAGUGGCUUUCCCAAGGGGCAGCCAGGCAGGUAGCCUGCAGAGUGAGGCCCUCCUCCUGGCCCCUCUUUCCCUCACCAGACACUGGCUGGGAGCUCAUCCAGGUCAGUGGCGCCCUGGGCUUUGGGAACCCCAUUUGUGACUGAAAUCCAGUCGGCUUCCAGUGAGGCUGGGAAGGCAUCUCGGACCCUCAGCAGUCAUCUGGGCUGUCCAAGGACCCACCCAGAAAACCACCUUGAACAGCCCAGGGAGGGGACAGCUCGGUCUUCAUCAGUGUCCAGGAGAAGCCUCGAAGUUAGAGAGCCUGGCCCCCUGGUUCCAGGAGACAAGAUGACCAGGACACUGCUGGCCAGCAGGGAUUCAGCCCAGCUGAUCCAGAGGUGUCCUUACCAAUAGGAGCAGCGCUCCACCUCUGGCCUCUCUGGAAUCAGGGUGUGGCCUACAGUGCGUCCUGCCGUCCCUGGGGCAUUCUGCGGCUUGGAAAAAACCCCAGCAGACAAUGGAGGAGUGUUCUCUCAAGCUCCGGGAAGCGCAGGUUGUGGGCACGGGGCGGAGGAGGUGCAGCGAACUCGGAGCCCCUCCGCCAGGGCGCAGCCAGCGGCAGCUGCUCUGCGGGCGCCCUCGGGGGAAACGGAAACGCUGCUGCCCGGGCUGGAGAGGUGGAGGGGGCUGGGAGGCCACAGGGAGCCUUCCGAGGUCCCCUAAGUUUCUCUUGGUUCUGGGUGGGAGACAGAUGCAGUGACGUUGUUGGAGAAGCAUUUGCAGAGCCUGCGGUGUGGGGGCUGGUUUUAAGCCACCAGCAUUUUAAAAAUGGGUUUGCAAAGGGCCUGACAACUUAACAAUUGUUCCCCGCGAGCCAGCACGCCCUGGCAGCCUGCGGGAACUGCAUGCACACAGGAGCACAAGGGUACAAAAGGUUAGAGGGAGAGAUACCUUUGUCACCGACACUUGAUGGCACUGACGAUGAUAUUGUGGGAACCAUACAGGCCUCUUGACUAGUGCACCAGAUUUCGAAUGUGGAGAACCUUAUUUUAUAUAAAUUCAUGUUCACAUGCAGUUUCCUUUUACGUGGGGACAACAGUGAGAUUGCACACAUCUGUGCACCCGCAUACAAUGUACAUAAAUCUUGAAGAACUCUUUUAAUAAGUAAAAAUAAAUAAAUAAUUCCAAGAGAUAAAGUAUUGUGUCAAUUUCAUGGACAGCAUUUUUAUUUCUUCGGGUGUAAAAAAUAGUAGUGUGUCUAUUCUCAAUGAUGCAG